rnacentral:lncRNA from 1 species
AUUCAUCGAUAUGUAACCCUGAUCGAAAAGUCCCAACCAGUGGGACUCUUGACCCCGGUACCCAUAAUGUGUGGAACUCGUGAUCAGAGAAUCUUGAUUCUCGAUCACUGAGUCCCAAACAUGUAAGAUUCUACAUCAGCCAUCAGAUCAGAUAGGAACCUCUAAUGUGUGUGAUCCCGCAGGUUCGAACCUAAGUCGGUAGCACAGGAACCAAUUCUUGUACUAAUCGAAGUGACCAUCUAGCAAUGGUACCCAACAUUCGGAUAGAUUGAAGAGUCACAAUCGCAACACUCAGAACCUACAUGAAUAUGGUUACUGUAUAAUUCAUCCUUUUGACCCCUGUGUUUAGGAUGACUCAGGGUUAAACUGUCAACCCUGAUCAGAUCAUCCGAAUCGUACUCAACUCAAACAGUCCUGUGACUCCUCACAAGGACUACCCUGACCAAGGUUUUGCUAAAUUAAA